rnacentral:rRNA from 1 species
GACGAAGGGGGCAAGCGUUGUUCGGAAUUACUGGGCGUAAAGGGCGCGUAGGCGGUUCUUUAAGUCAGGCGUGAAAGCCCUGGGCUCAACCUGGGAGUGGCGCUUGAUACUGGAGGACUAGAGAGUGGGAGAGGUUGGUGGAAUUCCCGGUGUAGAGGUGAAAUUCGUAGAUAUCGGGAGGAACACCAGUGGCGAAGGCGGCGAUCUGGGAAGAUACUGACGCUGAGGUGCGAAAGCGUGGGGAGCAAACAGG